rnacentral:lncRNA from 1 species
GUGGGAAGACGCCUGAAGGAAACGCACUGCUGAAGUGGCACUAGACCCAUGUGCCACUCCCUCAGCGAAUAUUCACUAAGCACCUGCUGCAUGCCAGGCCCUGGGAAUACAGCAGCACUGACGGCAUUCCCAGACUGCCCUCCAGGAACUUCUACUCUCCACAUCCAGAAAUCUGGAAUCAUCACAAAUUCCUUGCCACCUCCGUUAUCCAGUCUGCCUUUGAGAACUUUCCAUCAUCAUACAGCGAGAGGCCGUGGCCACCACCUCCCAUCUCUAGUCACAGACUCCUUAUGGCAGCCCCUUGGUCCA